UUCAUGGCAACGGAGAAGGGAACGCGGCGCGCGAGCUCGGCCCCCCCAGCCUCAGUCGGAAUCUGCCAUCUUGAGCCUGUGUCUCCGCUCUCGGCGCAGCCGGGGCCGCCAGCGCCCGCAUCACCGCCUCACUUGGCCGGCGCCGGGGGAGGGGGGGGCGGGGGCGGCGGGCCGAGCGCGAGCGAGCGAGCGAGCGAGCGAGCGAGCGAGCCGCGGAGCGCGGAGUCCGCGCGCAAUCGAGCGCCGAUGGCACGGAUGCGAGGCGGGGAAGGCCGAGCGGAGGGCAGGAGCGGCGGGCCGGGGCGGGCGCGGGCGCUGGGGGCGGGGUGGGGCGGAGCGGGGGGGGGGGGCGGGGGGAGGCUCGGGGCCGCCGCGGGGCUCGCGGGCAAGGUGCGCGCAGUUGCGUUCCGCCCGGCCGAGGACAGCCGGUCCGCAGGGGUGGCAGCCAGAAGUUUGUGUGCGCGCGCGAGCGGGGCGGGAGGACAGAGACGGGAAGGGGGCACCGCCGGCGGAGAGGCUCGCCCGCCUGGCCCGGAGCUAGGUGUUAUCUCUCCGCCCCUUUCCAGUACUACCUGAUAGAAAAUGCUGCAGGGAUGAAAAUGUAACCAUUCGUGGCUGUUGAGCACAUGAAAGGUGGCUAAUGUGACCGAGGAGCUGAAUUUUUCAUUGUCACGGCCACGUGUGGCUAGCGGCUCCGUACCAUACUGAGUGGUGCAUCUCUAAAGUGCACCUUCAACAAGGGCAGAAACGGUGUUGAUCUUGCUUGGCCUUAUAUCCCCAGCAACAAGCACAUCGCCUGGCACAUGGUAGGUACUGGACGAGUGUUAGCUGAGCGAUGAUAGCUACCAUUUAACAUAUGCUCGUUUGUGUCCAGCACAACACUGAGAACUUGGUAGAAGUUAUUGGGUCUAGGACUUUCCACGGCACCUGGGGUGGGACUGGACUGGAGACAGAGCUUGUAUAGAGUGCUGGCAGACAGUAGAGGUUCGAUAAGAGGUGGUUGUGAUUAUUUCGAAAACCUCCAUGGGACUGACCUGAUUUUUAUCUCUCCUUCUUCUAGAGGCUUACAGAACAGUUCCUGGCAUGCACACUGUGCUGCCACAUGGCAUCGCCCAGCCUAGAUGGCCGACCCCUCCCCCCCCCUUCUAGGGAGGCGGUCUGUUCCCCCAUAGCUGGCUUGGCAGCAUUCUGGGGCCAGGUCCAUGGCAUACUCAUUUGGAUGCCCCUCUGCUCAGAGCUUGCACUGAUUGGUGUUGAAAUAAUUGCCUCUAGGGGCGCCUGGGUGGCGCAGUCAGUUAAGCGUCUGACUUCAGCCAGGUCACGAUCUCGCGGUCCGUGAGUUCGAGCCGCGUCAGGCUCUGGGCUGGUGGCUCGGAGCCUGGAGCCUGUUUCCGAUUCUGUGUCUCCCUCUCUCUCUGCCCCUCCCCUGUUCAUGCUCUGUCUCUCUCUGUCCCAAAAAUAAAUAAACGUUGAAAAAAAAAUUUAAAAAAAUA
rnacentral:lncRNA from 1 species